rnacentral:rRNA from 1 species
GUGGGGAAUAUUGGACAAUGGGCGAAAGCCUGAUCCAGCCAUGCCGCGUGUGUGAAGAAGGUCUUCGGAUUGUAAAGCACUUUAAGUUGGGAGGAAGGGCAGUAAGUUAAUACCUUGCUGUUUUGACGUUACCAACAGAAUAAGCACCGGCUAACUUCGUGCCAGCAGCCGCGGUAAUACGAAGGGUGCAAGCGUUAAUCGGAAUUACUGGGCGUAAAGCGCGCGUAGGUGGUUCAGCAAGUUGGAGGUGAAAUCCCCUGGCUCAACCUGGGAACUGCCUCCAAAACUACUGAGCUAGAGUACGGUAGAGGGUAGUGGAAUUUCCUGUGUAGCGGUGAAAUGCGUAGAUAUAGGAAGGAACACCAGUGGCGAAGGCGACUACCUGGACUGAUACUGACACUGAGGUGCGAAAGCGUGGGGAGCAAACAGGAUUAGAAACCCUUGUAGUCC